UAUAAGUAUAAACGAUUUAAUCGUGAAACCGCGAACGGCUCAUUAUAACAGCUAUAAUUUACUUGAUCUUGACUUCCUACUUGGAUAACUGUGGUAAUUCUAGAGCUAAUACAUGCACCAAAGCUCCGACCUUACGGGAAGAGCGCAUUUAUUCGAACAAAACCAAGCGGCUUCGGCCGUCCGCAGUUGACUCAGAAUAACUAAGCUGAUCGCAUGGUCUUGUACCGGCGACGUGUCUUUCAAGUAUCUGCCUUAUCAACUUUCGAUGGUAGUGUAUCUGACUACCAUGGUGGUGACGGGUAACGGAGGAUAAGGGUUCGACUCCGGAGAAGGGGCCUGAGAAAUGGCCACUACGUCUAAGGAUGGCAGCAGGCGCGCAAAUUACCCACUCUCAGAAUGAGGAGGUAGUGACGAGAAAUAACGAGACCGUUCUCUACGAGGCCGGUCAUCGGAAUGGGUACAAUUUAAA
rnacentral:rRNA from 1 species